rnacentral:rRNA from 1 species
UACGGGGGGGGCAAGCGUUGUUCGGAAUUACUGGGCGUAAAGGGCUCGUAGGCGGCCAACUAAGUCAGACGUGAAAUCCCUCGGCUUAACCGGGGAACUGCGUCUGAUACUGGCGGGCUUGAGGACAGGAGAGGAACGCGGAAUUCCAGGUGUAGCGGUGAAAUGCGUAGAUAUCUGGAGGAACACCGGUGGCGAAGGCGGCGUUCUGGACUGUUUCUGACACUGAAAAACGAAAGCCAGGGGAGCAAACGGG